rnacentral:rRNA from 1 species
GGCGAACGCUGGCGGCGUGCCUAAUACAUGCAAGUCGAGCGGACCGGAUUGGGGCUUGCCUUGAUUCGGUCAGCGGCGGACGGGUGAGUAACACGUGGGCAACCUGCCCGCAAGACCGGGAUAACUCCGGGAAACCGGAGCUAAUACCGGAUAACACCGAAGACCGCAUGGUCUUCGGUUGAAAGGCGGCCUUUGGGCUGUCACUUGCGGAUGGGCCCGCGGCGCAUUAGCUAGUUGGUGAGGUAACGGCUCACCAAGGCGACGAUGCGUAGCCGGCCUGAGAGGGUGACCGGCAACACUGGGACUGAGACACGGCCCAGACUCCUACGGGAGGCAGCAGUAGGGAAUCUUACGCAAUGGGCGAAAGCCUGACGGAGCGACGCCGCGUGAGCGAAGAAGGCCGUCGGGUCGUAAAGCUCUGUUGUGAGGGACGAAGGAGCGUCGUUCGAAGAGGGCGGCGCGGUGACGGUACCUCACGAGAAAGCCCCGGCUAACUACGUG